AGUCCAUGGACUGGCAACGUUCUAGGGGAUUCUCAAAAAGUGGCAAUGGUCAAUGGAUGGCAGACGAUUUUUUUGUAAAUAAAACAAAUAAACACUAUUUAGAUUACCUAGCAAAGUGAGUUAAAUUAAACUCUCCUUAUUAGUCUCCUAUCAUUUUGUUGUCAUAUUGAAACUUUCAUUGAUUUUAUGAGCUUCCAUCAUUCACCAACAGGAUACAAGCCAUAUGCCCUGACAGUCAAUUCCAGUCGAGAUGAAUUCUUUCUUUAUGCAGCAGCAAUUAGUAAGAAAUGUGAAAAAGUAUGUUGUUUGAUAUUUGGUGUUUUGGAUCAAUAUUUGAUUGUAUACAGUGGUCAUUUCUUAGUUGACAAAGAUCAAUUAUAUGAUCCCAUCAAUAAAGUUCCUGUAAAUGAAGUGAAGUUGUCAGACUUUAAUUUGUGACGCCAACAUCUGGUUCUUUUUUAUGUACCUAAUGAGAUGCUUCUUGAAAUGGGAGGCUAUUUUUUUACAAGCUGGCCAUCCAUCUUAUUGUGAGACACAGUUUGCGUCAUUCGAGAUGUUCAUGUUUUCAAUAAACCAGGUUCAGUUGAAAGAGAAAGUUCGAGACACAUUGCGCUAGAAAAGAUAAAAGCUCAAAUUAAAAAAUUGCCUCAAUUUAAAGACGUUGAGUACUUGAGUUUGGUGAAUCGAGUGUUCAAGCCAUUAUUCCAGGUAGCCAUCGGGUAAUUUCUGCCAUCUCUAAACCCAGAACGAAACACGUAUUUUUUUAAACUUGUUUGUCCAAAAAUACAAAGACAGCAUCUAACGUAUCCUGGAUAAUGUGAAGGCAGUCAUUGCGUGAAAACCCAAUACAAUCAUUUAGGCUCUUUACAACUCAGAUGCGCUACUGAAACAAAAUUUUUCACGGUGUAUGCAGUUUACGAAGAACCUGUCCAGAUGUACGCGGCGUUCUAUCGUAAUGUGUUUUUGUUAGGUUACGUAGACGGUCACCAUAUUGUGGGAGUAGUUGCCGACCAAAUAUUCUUCGUAAUGGCUACGAAAAUACUCUACAGUCGAAAUAGUCUUCCUUUUCCGGGGAUGCAACCCAUUAAGUUUUUCCCUCAGAUGAUUGAAAUGAUUGUUCUCCCACUAUGAUUACAUUUUUUACUAAUCAUGUUCAGAUUCUUCGUCAUUCCAAAGAAUACGCGUGCAAUUUUCAACGGGCCGUGGAAUCUUUCGAAAUUCUUGAUUUGGAACGCCCAUCAUUCAUGAUGUGCGUUCCAGUUUAUCAACUCUUUUUUUAUGAUUCCGGGCUGCAUAGUCGAAAAAAUCACAAUGCUUGGUUGGAAGAUAUGUUGAACCUGUGUUACAAUCCCACUUUCCACAACUCGAGAACGAGUUUCCGGUUUACCCGACAAGUUCGAAAAAUGUUCUUCUCUUUUCUGAAAAUGUGACAAAGCUGUGGAUCCAUCAAUUCAUCAAUUGUUGCGUAAAAUUCACGAAUUUAAAGACUCGUCGUUGGAUGGCCAUAUCAAUCACGCUGAUAUAUCAAAAAUGGAUUUCUUCACUUUGAACAUCAAAACCUUCAUAGCCAAUUUUCUCCCGUUAUUCGGAUUUUCGGUCGAUAGCAAAUUCCAGUGUCAACUCAAAGUUCUAGGCACAGAUGGGGUCCCCUCAGCAGUCUGUUCAGAAGAUUUGUCAGCUCAUCAAAUUGGCGCCCAGAUUUACGAACAUCAUAUCUUGCCUCUUUCGUGGGAUGAAAACCAUUGCAAGAAUUUUAUUUUUUCUCCUUUCUCGCUGAUCUACAAAUCACACAAUCCUCCCUUAAGUCACGGUUGUGACAACGAAAGGCUCAGAUGGGCACGCAGCACGCUCUCUUGUUGAUCGUUAGUCUGGAGGUUCCUUCAACGAGAGGUUGGCGAAGGUCAGUUGGACAACGGAGUUCCGACUAUUAGAAAGGCGCGUCAAAAGAAGAGAGCCGUGGAAAGCCAGAGUUAAUCAGAAAAGGAGGCUUACUUCCGGUAUACUUCUUCCAGCCCAAAGCGUGGAAAACGGUCAGCAGAUAUGAGUUCAAUCAAUUCUGAUUGAUACUGUUUUAAUUGUUUAAUUUUAUAUGAAAAAUGUGUGGCCCUGACACUAACGUUUUAUUGUUCCUUGUAUAUGCAAGUAAUUUUCUGAUGAUUUCUUUUGUCACGUUAACAUCAACCGAGAAAAUAAAUUUACCCCGUCAUUAAAUGGGAUGACUUGAAUCUAAA
rnacentral:lncRNA from 1 species